rnacentral:rRNA from 1 species
UCGGAUCGUAAAGCUCUGUUGUUAGGGAAGAACAAGUAUCCGUUCGAAUAGGGCGGUACCUUGACGGUACCUAACCAGAAAGCCACGGCUAACUACGUGCCAGCAGCCGCGGUAAUACGUAGGUGGCAAGCGUUAUCCGGAAUUAUUGGGCGUAAAGCGCGCGCAGGCGGUCCUUUAAGUCUGAUGUGAAAGCCCACGGCUCAACCGUGGAGGGUCAUUGGAAACUGGGGGACUUGAGUGCAGAAGAGGAGAGCGGAAUUCCACGUGUAGCGGUGAAAUGCGUAGAGAUGUGGAGGAACACCAGUGGCGAAGGCGGCUCUCUGGUCUGUAACUGACGCUGAGGCGCGAAAGCGUGGGGAGCGAACAGGAUUAGAUACCCUGGUAGUCCACGCCGUAAACGAUGAGUGCUAAGUGUUAGAGGGUUUCCGCCCUUUAGUGCUGCAGCAAACGCAUUAAGCACUCCGCCUGGGGAGUACGGUCGCAAGACUGAAACUCAAAGGAAUUGACGGGGGCCCGCACAAGCGGUGGAGCAUGUGGUUUAAUUCGAAGCAACGCGAAGAACCUUACCAGGUCGUGACAUCCCGUGACAACUCGAGAGAUAGGGCUUGUCCCCUUCGGGGGACCCGCUGACUGGAGGUGCAUGGGUGUCGUCAGCUCGUGUCGUGAGAUGUUGCGUUAAGUCCCGCUACGACCGCAGCCGUUGAUCCUAGUGACUAGCAUUCAAUUG